CUCCGGGAGAAGCGGGCCAUAAAAGUCAUAGACGCCCAGAGCCAGUUACCGGGGCACAUCUUAGAGGUGGCGGAAACCGUGCGGCAGCUGCAGGGGCGGCUGCCGUGAGGAUGCGUCUCCAGGUGGCUUCCGGUACCUCGGUGCGAGCGCGGCGCGGGGUCUCAGUCCCGGAGGCAGAUCGCAGGCGCAGCCAGCCCCACGGCCAUGACUCUCCCGCCGCCGCCGCCGCCGCCGCCGCCCCCGCCGCCGCUGCGAGACCGGCUGACGGAUUAGCCUCUAUUUUUAAGCCAUGACACGCACGUCGAAGCAGGGCUCAUAUCAGCGUGUGUGUGUGUGUGUCGGUGACACGCAGAGACACAGCCUCACACCCAGCGGUCCGAGUGGACGCGCAGCGUGGGCUCGCCCGCGGGUGUUUGCAGACCAGACACGGACCACAGCCCCGCCCGGUGUGCACGCCCCAGCAGACGUGUAUUUUCGGAGCUGCGCCAAUUACAAGGCAUUUUGCUUGAAGAUGACAUUAUACAAGUCGUCCCAGACAGCGCCUUAAACACACCCGCUCCUCCCCUGGCAGCAUUAACUAAUUACACAGA